GUUGUAUAGUCAAGUAAUUAAGUGCAUGUGGUGGAUGCCUUGGCAGUCAGAGGCGAUGAAAGACGUGAUAGCCUGCGAAAAGCUCCGGGGAGGCGGCAAAUAUCCUUUGAUCCGGAGAUGUCUGAAUGGGGGAACCCACCUACUUUAAGGUAGGUAUUGCAACAUGAAUACAUAGUGUUGCAAGGCGAACGAGGGGAAGUGAAACAUCUCAGUACCCUUAGGAAAAGAAAUCAAUUGAGAUUCCCUCAGUAGCGGCGAGCGAACGGGGAUCAGCCCAUUAAGUUAUGUGUGUUUUAGUGGAACGCUCUGGGAAGUGCGAACGUAGAGGGUGAUAUUCCCGUACACGAAAGGGCACACAUAAUGAUGACGAGUAGGGCGAGGCACGUGAAACCUUGUCUGAAUAUGGGGGGACCAUCCUCCAAGGCUAAAUACUCCUGACUGACCGAUAGUGAACCAGUACCGUGAGGGAAAGGCGAAAAGAACCCCUGUGAGGGGAGUGAAAUAGAUCCUGAAACCGCAUGCAUACAAGCAGUGGGAGCACCUUCGUGGUGUGACUGCGUACCUUUUGUAUAAUGGGUCAGCGACUUAUAUUCAGUAGCAGGUUAACCGUAUAGGGGAGCCGUAGAGAAAUCGAGUCUUAAUAGGGCGUUUAGUUGCUGGGUAUAGACCCGAAACCAGGCGAUCUAUCCAUGAGCAGGUUGAAGGUUGGGUAACACUAACUGGAGGACCGAACCCACUGUCGUUGAAAAGCCAGGGGAUGACUUGUGGAUAGGGGUGAAAGGCUAAUCAAGCCUGGUGAUAGCUGGUUCUCCCCGAAAGCUAUUUAGGUAGCGCCUCGGACGAAUACCAUAGGGGGUAGAGCACUGUUUCGGCUAGGGGGUCAUCCCGACUUACCAAACCGAUGCAAACUCCGAAUACCUAUGAGUACUAUCCGGGAGACAGACUGCGGGUGCUAACGUCCGUAGUCAAGAGGAAAACAAUCCAGACCGCCAGCUAAGGCCCCAAAAUCAUAGUUAAGUGGGAAACGAUGUGGGAAGGCAUAGACAGCUAGGAGGUUGGCUUAGAAGCAGCCACCCUUUAAAGAAAGCGUAAUAGCUCACUAGUCGAGUCGGCCUGCGCGGAAGAUGUAACGGGGCUAAAACUAUGUGCCGAAGCUGCGGAUAUACUUUGUAUAGUGGUAGGGGAGCGUUCUGUAAGCCGAUGAAGGUGUGUUGAGAAGCAUGCUGGAGGUAUCAGAAGUGCGAAUGCUGACGUGAGUAACGACAAAACGGGUGAAAAACCCGUUCGCCGAAAGACCAAGGGUUCCAGUCCAACGUUAAUCGGGGCUGGGUGAGUCGACCCCUAAGGCGAGGCCGAAAGGCGUAGUCGAUGGGAAAAUGGUUAAUAUUCCAUUACUUCUGUGUAAUGCGAUGAGAGGACGGAGAAGGCUAAAUCAGCCUGGCGUUGGUUGUCCAGGUGAAAGGAUGUAGGCAUGUAUCUUAGGCAAAUCCGGGGUACUCUAUGCUGAGAUCUGAUAGCAAGCUGUACUUGUACAGCGAAGUGGUUGAUGCCAUGCUUCCAGGAAAAGUCUCUAAGCUUCAGUUACACAGGAAUCGUACCCGAAACCGACACAGGUGGUCAGGUCGAGUAGACCAAGGCGCUUGAGAGAACUCUGCUGAAGGAACUAGGCAAAAUGGUACCGUAACUUCGGGAGAAGGUACGCUGUUGUUGGUGAUGGAACUCGCUUCCUGAGCUGACGACAGCCGCAGAAACCAGGCCGCUGCAACUGUUUAUUAAAAACAUAGCACUCUGCAAACACGAAAGUGGACGUAUAGGGUGUGAUGCCUGCCCGGUGCUGGAAGGUUAAUUGAUGGGGUUAGCGUAAGCGAAGCUCUUGAUCGAAGCCCCAGUAAACGGCGGCCGUAACUAUAACGGUCCUAAGGUAGCGAAAUUCCUUGUCGGGUAAGUUCCGACCUGCACGAAUGGCAUAAUGAUGGCGGCGCUGUCUCCAGCAGAGGCUCAGUGAAAUCGAAAUCGCUGUGAAGAUGCAGUGUACCCGCGGCUAGACGGAAAGACCCCGUGAACCUUUACUGCAGCUUGACACUGAACUUUGACCUUACUUGUGUAGGAUAGGUGGGAGGCUUUGAAGCUGGAACGCUAGUUCCAGUGGAGCCGUCCUUGAAAUACCACCCUGGUAAUGUUGAGGUUCUAACUCUGUCCCGUGAUCCGGGACGAGGACCGUGUCUGGUGGGUAGUUUGACUGGGGCGGUCUCCUCCUAAAGAGUAACGGAGGAGUACGAAGGUGCGCUCAGCGUGGUCGGAAAUCACGCGUAGAGUAUAAAGGCAAAAGCGCGCUUAACUGCGAGACCCACAAGUCGAGCAGGUACGAAAGUAGGUCUUAGUGAUCCGGUGGUUCUGUAUGGAAGGGCCAUCGCUCAACGGAUAAAAGGUACUCUGGGGAUAACAGGCUGAUACCGCCCAAGAGUUCAUAUCGACGGCGGUGUUUGGCACCUCGAUGUCGGCUCAUCUCAUCCUGGGGCUGAAGCAGGUCCCAAGGGUAUGGCUGUUCGCCAUUUAAAGAGGUACGCGAGCUGGGUUUAGAACGUCGUGAGACAGUUCGGUCCCUAUCUACCGUGGGCGCUGGAAAUUUGAGAGGAUCUGCUCCUAGUACGAGAGGACCAGAGUGGACGAACCUCUGGUGUACCGGUUGUGACGCCAGUCGCAUCGCCGGGUAGCUAUGUUCGGAAGGGAUAACCGCUGAAAGCAUCUAAGCGGGAAGCCUACCUCAAGAUAAGAUUUCCCUAGGACUUUAUGUCCUCUAAAGAGCCGUUCGAGACUAGGACGUUGAUAGGUUGGAUGUGGAAGCAUAGUGAUAUGUGAAGCUGACCAAUACUAAUUGCUCGUGAGGCUUGACUAUACAACACCCAAGCAGUUG
rnacentral:rRNA from 1 species